GAUGAACGCUGGCGGCGUGCCUAAUACAUGCAAGUCGAGCGAACAGACGCGGAUCUUGCUCCUCUGACGUUAGCGGCGGACGGGUGAGUAACACGUGUAUACCCUACUUAUAAGACUGGGAUAAUUUCGGGAAACCGGAGCUAAUACCGUAUAAUAUAUUGAUCCACAUGGUUCAUUAGUGAAUGACGGUUUUGCUGUCUCUACUAGAUGGUUCCGCGCCGCAUUAGCUAGUUGGUAAGGUAACGGCUUACCAAGGCAACGAUGCGUAGCCGACCUGAGGGGGUGAUAGGCCACACUGGAAGUGGGCCACGGUCCAUGGGCCUACGGGAGGGAGCAGUAGGGAAUGGUCCGCAAUGGGGGAAAACCUUACGGAGCAAGGGCGCGUGAGUGAUAGAAAUCUUGGGAUCGUAAAAAUCUGUUAUUAGGGAAGAACAAAUGUGUAAGUAACUAUGCACGUCUUGACGGUACCUGAUCAGAAAGCCACGGCUAACUACGUG
rnacentral:rRNA from 1 species